rnacentral:rRNA from 1 species
AUGGCCGAGAUCAUCAGGUCUGCCAUCAUUGGGGAGACAGUUAGCCAGAUUUUUUCUGGCAUAACCAACGGGAAAGACGAUGAUAAAUCAGAUGAAGCCAGCGGAGGAGGUGGCCUAGAGAGACUGGAGAUGGCACACAUCAAAAUGGAGGCUGCACUCGAGAUGUCUGACAAGUGGCAGAUCACCGAUGUGUCACUACUUCAUUGGAAGAAGCUGAAGAGUGCUGCCCAGGAUUGCAACGACGCAGCUCGCAGAUGCUGGGAGCUCUCUCUGGAAGAAGAUGAGGCAGAGCAGGUGCUAAGAAAAUCUUCGUUUGCUACACGGAUCGCUCAUGCGACCAAGGCAUUUGUCACCUCUUUCAUUGGCUGCGAAGGUGAUCAUUGCUCAGGCAGCAUCACCGCCGCCGUUCGAAGAUUCGAGAGGUUUGCUGAUGGUGCUACAGAGUUCAUUCGAUGUGUGCAGCUCGGUGGAACACCUCGACAGCCCCUGUUCUUCGACCCUCUCAUCAGGCAUAUCUUCACAGGCAAAACGCUGCGGUAUAUGGUGAUGCAUACGGGAGGCCAGUAUCAGUACUUCGGCAUACGACCUAUGGCCUUUGAGGAGCGUGGACUGGAGGCCAUGCUAUCCUUCAUAUAUGAAGAUUUCAAGGUGCCCAAGAACAGUUUUCGCCUUGGGUUCAUGCUGCGUCUUUCAGAGAGUACAGACAUUAUCGGAACUACAGUCAAGUGCUUGCGACUGGUGACACCUCACUUCAAGUCCACGGCCGACGCUGUGAUCAAAGGUAUCAUCCAACUCCCUACCCAAGAUUUUUCAUGUUUACCACCAGAGGCUGAGAGCACAAACAUGCAACACUGGAACCAGAUCCACAAAACUUUUACUGGAUGGUUCCGUCCAGAUCCAUUAUGUUGUCAAGGAUACAAACAGGAGGUCGUGCCUUCUCAUGUCGGUAACUGCGGGAACAAAGUGAGACUUUCAAGCAUACUAGGGGAACCAGUGUGUGAAGUGUUUUUGCAGCGUCAAAUAUCUCUACUCGAUUAUAAGAACCUACAGAGAUCAACUGCGGGAUAUGAUGUUUCUUCUCUGGAGAAUACUCCAAUUCUGUUCAUGCCUCAUGAUUCUCUGGAGAACCCCAAGUCCACCGGCGAGGGCUCUGCGAUAGAGGUGAUUGAUGGAGAGAAGCAACAUCUCACACAUGCAAAUGUUCAUCCGCACCAACUUGAUGAGAUAUUGCUGCCCAAGGCGAUAGAUUAUCUUCACCAUAACACCGAGACUGCGACGUAUCAGAUAGUAUGGAGGUCCAACCAUGGCAGUGCACACCUAUGUGCGGAGAAGACAAGCACAGCAAGAAUUUCCAGAGCACGCAGAGCCGCCACACGACAAGGUAGGAACAAGAGUAGUAAGACACUUUGUCAGAUGCAUCAGGAGCAGAUGAGGAAAGUGCAGUGGAUGCAGGUAGCCAAAGAUUUCCUGAAACUAUGA